GAGCAGGAUAGCUCAGCGGUUAGAGCGCCUAUUGUAAAAUAGGGGUCAGGAGUUCGAUUCUCCUUCAGUUCG
rnacentral:tRNA from 1 species